rnacentral:rRNA from 1 species
UAAAAAAUUUUGGCGGUAUUUUAAGCUUAUUAGAGGAAUUUGCUCUGUGAUGGACACAACGCCUUAAUCUUACUUAAUUUAGUAAUUUAAAUCAGUUUGUAUACCACUAUAUUAAUUAUAUUGAAUAGUUAUAUUUAAAAUUUUUUUAAAAAAAUAUAUUAAGUCAAGGUGCAUCUAAUAAUUAUGAAUGAAGUGAAUUACAUUAAUUUUAAUUUAAUUUUUUACAUGAAAAAAUUAAUUAGGAUUUAAUAGUAAAAUACUAAUAUUAUGAGUAUUUGAAUCAAGCUCUAAAAUAUGCACAUAUCGCCCGUCGCUCUCAGAAGUGAGAUAAGUCGUAACAAAGUAAAAAUACUGGAAAGUGUUUUU